rnacentral:rRNA from 1 species
AUGUGUGAUCAUGUCGUCGGCGCCACCACCACCUUCGCCCUCUGGCACAAGAUCAAGGACUAUUUCCUCACCAACUGCGCCGCCCGCUUUAUGAUCCUCAACCGCCAGCACCGCAAUCUCAAGCAGGGGGACCUCUCUGUCUCGGAGUACGCGCGCCGCAUCAAGCAGCUCAACGACACCCUUGCCGACAUCGACCACGGUGUCAAAGAGGUGGAUCUCACAACGCAGUUCCUGCACGGACUCGACAAGCGCCUCGAAACAAUUCGGGUCGUUCUUGGCGAUCAGACAUUCCCCUUCGACACCGUCCUCUCCCGCGUCAUCCUGGCAGAGGAGUCCCAGGCUCAGCGCGCGGCGGAGGAGAGCGCCUAGGCUUUCGCCAUGCCGGGCGGUGGCUCGUUGAGCGGC